rnacentral:rRNA from 1 species
UAAUACGGAGGGUGCAAGCGUUAUCCGGAUUUAUUGGNUUUAAAGGGUGCGUAGNCGNUUUGAUAAGUCAGCGGUGAAAUAUUUCAGCUUAACUGGAAGGGUGCCGUUGAUACUGUCGAGCUUGAAUUUAGUUGCUGUGGGUGGAAUGUGUGGUGUAGCGGUGAAAUGCAUAGAUAUCACACAGAAUAUCGAUUGCGAAGNCAGCUCACAAAGCUAAUAUUGACGCUGAUGCACGAAAGUGUGGGGAUCAAACAGGAUUAGAUACCCUGGUAGUCCACACUGUAAACGAUGAUAACUCGCUGUCGGCGAUACACAGUCGGUGGCCAAGCGAAAGCGAUAAGUUAUCCACCUGGGGAGUACGACCNCAAGGUUGAAACUCAAAGGAAUUGACGG